UGUCAAGUGCGUGCAAUCUUUUUCACUUG
rnacentral:piRNA from 1 species